UAGAAAGUAACCCAUCCAACCCUGCGUGGCUUCAAUGAGAAGGGGCAGUCAUUCUCCCCUGAGGAAACCCCACAGCAACUCUAUCCCCAAGAAUGUAGUAAAGCACUUCAUAACAGCAACACUCAUGCUAACAGUUAAGUUGACACUAUUUAAAGACACCUCUACACUCACUGUUCACGUGUAGUUUUAUCCUCUGAACUGUAACCCCAGACCCCUUCAGACCUAUAUUUCACUAGAACCAGAAAUAAAAUGUUAUUAGUCACAUGCGCCGUAUACAACAGGUAUAUACCAUGUGUAUCCCGUACAGUGAAAUGUUUACUUACUAGCCCCUAGCCAACAGGUAUAUACCAUGUGUAUCCCGUACAGUGAAAUGCUUACUUACUAGCCCCUAGCCAACAGGUAUAUACCAUGUGUAUCCCGUACAGUGAAAUGCUUACUUACUAGCCCCUAGCCAACAGGUAUAUACCAUGUGUAUCCCGUACAGUGAAAUGCUUACUUACUAGCCCCUAGCCAACAGGUAUAUACCAUGUGUAUCCCGUACAGUGAAAUGCUUACUUACUAGCCCCUAGCCAACAGGUAUAUACCAUGUGUAUCCCGUACAGUGAAAUGCUUACUUACUAGCCCCUAGCCAACAGGUAUAUACCAUGUGUAUCCCGUACAGUGAAAUGCUUACUUACUAGCCCCUAGCCAACAGGUAUAUACCAUGUGUAUCCCGUACAGUGAAAUGCUUACUUACUAGCCCCUAGCCAACAGGUAUAUACCAUGUGUAUCCCGUACAGUGAAAUGCUUACUUACUAGCCCCUAGCCAACAGGUAUAUACCAUG